rnacentral:rRNA from 1 species
AUUUUCUGCCACCGAAUACAUUAGCAUGGGAUAAUGGAAUAGGACCCUGUCCUCCUAUUUUCAGUUGGUUUUGGCAGCGCGAGGACUAGGGUAAUGAUUAAUAGGGAUAGUUGGGGGCAUUAAUAUUUAAUUGUCAGAGGUGAAAUUCUUGGAUUUAUGAAAGAUUAACUUCUGCGAAAGCAUCUGCCAAGGAUGUUUUCAUUAAUCAAGAACGAAAGUUAGGGGAUCGAAGACGAUCAGAUACCGUCGUAGUCUUAACCAUAAACGAUGCCGACCAGCGAUUAGGAGACGUUGAAUACAAAACACCACCAUCGGCGCGGUCGUCCUUGGCGUCUCGGUCCUUCACGGGGCCGGGGCGCGGGGGCGGCUUAGCCCGGUGGCACCGGUGAAUGACUCCCCUAGC